CCUGGCCUGGACGGGACGCUCCUGCCGCCCUCCUGCAGCGCGGACCUCAGGUCUGCUGAGCACCACCUGAGGACGGGCACUGGCGCAUGCGCCCCAUAGAAGUGAUGGAGACACAGAGGACCUGCUCCAGGCGGGGCUUCAGCGUGUGGGUUCGCGGGUCCUGGGAGCCGAGAGAAGGCGCCUGUUUCUUCGGGUCUGACGGGCACAAGCCGAAUCUCCCCACGAGGUGCUCGUGUGCCCAGGUGCCGGCGUACAGGGCCCGAUGCCAGACGUUUCUGCAUCUCCUACCUCCUCCCCCUAGCUUCUCCCCUUUCGCGGGUGGCCCAGGUGCGUGGGGGCAUCGGCAGGGGAGGGGCCAGGGCCUAAGAAGUCUGCAGGGGUCGGCGGUGAAGGGCAGGGAGCCGCAGCCCCGAGCCCCCGCGCAAGGGUAGAGAUCUGAAGUCUAAGGCGGUCUCUGCGUGACCUUGGGCGAGUCAUUCCCCUCGGGAGCCUCAGCUGGCUCGCCCGUCAAGUGGGAACGCAGCGGCCGCACUUGGCGGGUUGCCCGCGGUGGAGCGCGGAGCUCGGCGGGGCGCCGGGACGAGGUGAGGAGGGGUCCAGCCGCCCAGGGGGAGUCGGGGGGCCGCGGGCGUCCCCGGGCGGGCGCUGGGGGGCGCUGCGCGCCGGGCGGCUCGCCCCGCGGCAAGUUUGCCUCCAGCUGUUGAAUGCGCCCGCGACGGCGACGGCGACGGCGACGGCGGCGGCGGGACCCGGAGCCCGCGGGGUGAGCGGGGCGGGGGGCCGGGCGGGGCCGGGGCUCGGCGCUCCCCGCGGCCGCCGCCGCCGCCUCCCCGGGCGCUGCAGCUGCGGCGUUGGAGCCGGGCGGGCCCCCGCCCCGCGGCCGCGUGUCUGCGUGCGCGCGUGUCUGUGGAAGGAUCGGGCCGGGGGAGGGGGGCGGGCGGGGUCUCGCUGCGGACGCGCCUGCGGACGGACGGACGGACAGACCGCGGGCCGCGGCCCCUGACGCACGCUGCGCUCCCACCCCGGCGGCGGCGGCGGCCCGGGCCGGGCGGGGGCGGGUCGGGGGCGGGGGCGGGGGCGGCGGCGUCUGCGCGCACACGCGGGCUCGCAGACACACACACACGCACACGCGGGCCACGCCGCGCACACCCGCACCCGCGCCCGCGCUCACACUCACUCACACUCACACUCGCGCGCAGGCCCCGCAGCCGCCGCCGCCUCCGGAAGCGGCGCUCGGCCCGGAUCCCGGCCGGCCUGGAGGAGCCAGGAGACAGAUGGGUCUCUUCCUUCCUGUCCUGUCUCUCAAGCUCCCUCCUCAGAGCUUCAUUCUCCAGCCUCCUGUGGGAAUCGUGGGAAUCGUCUGAAGUUUGAGCCUAGAACCAGAGGAGGAGGAGGAGGAGGAGGAAGAAGACAAGGAAGAGGAGGAGGAGGAGGGAGAGGAAGUCUUGAGAGCCCGUGCACCUUUCCAGAAACAGGCGGUGGGGGUGCGUCCCAGGCCCAUCCUCGGUGGCCCACGCCUGCCAGUAGCACCCCUGAGAGGACCCCCCCCCCCCCCGCCGCCCUCUACCGCGGUUGGCACCUGCCGCGUCUGCUCCCUCGGGGGGACCCCUGUGCCGGGGGUCGCCCCCAAGAUGGUGGCGGCCCCAGGGAGGACUGUGCCGCCAGCCCCAGCUUCCCGCUGCUAGGUCCCCUGUGCCCCGGGCCCCCCUUACCCCAAGCCCGGCCUUCCA
rnacentral:lncRNA from 1 species